rnacentral:rRNA from 1 species
AUGGCAACAUCACUACGGAAAGAAGUUCCAAUCACGCAGAAAAAUCAUCAGAAAGGAAGGGAUGUGAUACUUUAUAAUGUUUACCGGGAUCAUAAUAGCCCCGUGGCAAAAGCUACAAUUCUAUCAGUUGAUCGGAGAGAGGAGGUAGGUGGUCAGGAGCUUGGCUCUCAAUAUUGUAAGGUUGUCGUGAACUAUGUAAUAAAAAGGGAUGCUAUUCUCCCUCGUGGUGUUGGGGACAUGACAACCAUGGGGCAAGCUCAAGGACGAUGUAUCGCAUGGCCUUACAAGCAUUUGGAAGUGGACAAGUCAACAGCAAAUGCAGCAAUGUGA